CGUGUACGUUGCCAUGUACAAUGAUAUGAAAUAUGGAUACGUACGAUACGACCAACGUAGAACGCGUCCUGCGGUAUCUUUGUCAUCGAAGACGCGUUAGUUGGAGGCGGUGGCCUUUGACACGAGAUUGCUAGAGUGUCUGACGUUUUAAUUGCUUUGGCUGGCGAGAAUCAGGUUAGGUUCAAGCAAAAGCGUUCGCGAUAACGAGGGCAAUGUUUCGACGUUGACUACGAUGGAUGAGAAAUUACGACGUUUUGGCCCUUGACGACGAGGUUGUUCGUAGAGCUUCGCGAAAGCAAACAGCCACGGUGUACAAAAUGUGGAAGAAAAUGGCACGGGAGAGCGAUUCCAGUUGGACAAAUAAAUCUGGCGACACGUAGAAGAGGCGGGAUAAUACGGCGCAGAGUAACUUUCGUUGAAAAAACAAGCCGAAAAUUGAAGGUACGAGUUGACAUUUGGAAGAUCGUGGCUCGGGAGAAAACACGAAUCGGACAAGUGAACAAGGAAAUUGUUACGAAAAUAGAACGACUUGCACACUGAAAAAUAAAUUUCUCGAUAUAUAGAAUAUAUUCACGAGGGAGGAAAUCAAUAGCAUGGAAUGUUUUCCUCUUUCCUGAAAAAGUAUUUUCCCUUCACUGGAAAUAAUUAACUUAAUGUCCUAAUAACUAACGUCUAUCUGUUUUACGUUCAAUUUUGCAAA
rnacentral:misc_RNA from 1 species